rnacentral:rRNA from 1 species
AAUGAACGCUGGCGGCGCGCCUAAUACAUGCAAGUCGAGCGAGAAGACGUAGCAAUACGUUUGUAAAGCGGCGAACGGGUGAGGAAUACAUGGGUAACCUACCCUCGAGUGGGGAAUAACUAGCCGAAAGGUUAGCUAAUACCGCGUACGCUUCUUGGACUUCGGUUCAGGGAGGAAAGCGAUGCCGAGGGUAUCGCGCUCUUGGAUGGGCUCAUGUCCUAUCAGCUUGUUGGGAGGUACGC